GGCGCGUCCACCACGUGACCCGGGGCCGGGUUACUGCCCGGGCCCCGCCAUGUCAGCGCCGGCCCCGCCCCCGGGGAGGGGAAAUGGCGGGGUGAGGCCCGCGGCGCCCUGUCGCCUGGCGCUCGGUAGCCGCCGCGGUUGUUGCGUGUCUGCGGUCGUUGCUUGGGCUGGGGGCCUGAGCCCGGAGGCUGCGGGGCUCGUCCCCUUGGGCCAGGCCGCAGCUUCUGUGGCGCUGUUGGGGGCCGGGCCUGGCUCGGCUCCCUGAGGCGGUCGCUGCGGGGCGGGCUGCGUGUCUGGGCGGAGGAGCUGAGAGGGGAGCUGGGGUGAAAGCAGUGCCAGCUUCCAUCUUCACACUUAAAAAAUACUGGUUUUUCUAUCCCCCCGUAGUCGAGUCUCACAGGUGGCACAGAGCACAUGCUAAACACCGUUCUGGAUAGAGCCAAGGACCGGUACUGGAGUGUGUUGAGUACCUAGCAUGACUACAGUGGAAAAAACUGUGCUGCUUGCUUAUAUUUAUAAAACAGAGCAAAACUGAAAGGCUGCUCUCUGUGUCAAGUGUUUUGCACUGAUAAAGGUGAUAGUUUAAUAGAUGACUGCAUUUGUGCUAACACAUGGAGUUAAUGUUCAUGAGGAAACUGCAGGUAUGCUGCAAAGUGUAGUUUCAAGGGCACUGGCUGGCUAUUGGCAUCUAUUUAAAGAGCACGUUUGUCAAGUACUACUGUAAUGUGUUGGUAUCGUGUCAAAUCAUAGCGAGUUGCAGUCUGCAGAGUGUUGGAUGAUACGGUAUGUUCAAAAUGUCUUUGUUUAAUGUACAAUUUCAUUGUUUAACUGUAGCCCUGUACACCAGCAAGGGGAGUAAGCUGGAAACAGGAGGCUCAGAAUGUUACGGAAAUCUCAGAAAGUGUGUUUGGCUUGCUUUUGUGUUAUACUACUAAACUGUGUCUGCUGUUGGAGUUGUUAAUCAAAUACAGAUUACUCUCAGGAGUCUCCUCUGUCAUCAAUAUGUGACUGUCCAGCAAUUAGCCCUCUUUGCAGUUCAAAAAGAUGUGCUUUCAGAGAAAGCUGACAGUAACAAGAACUUGUUCUACUCAUUGUGAAAUGUGUAAGUAGGAGUUUGUGUACAGUUACACAGCUGAUAUUCAGAGAAGUUUUUAAAAUAAAUGGGUUGUAGUGAUAAAUGGAAAGCUCUUACAAAUGUCAUCAGUAUCUAUAGGUUGAUCUUUUAUCAGAAAAAAAGUAUUUGAACUUUAAUAGUUCUUUUUUUAAAGAAAGCUGCUGAGCUAAGGAGCGGAGGAGCAAAGGUAAUACUGCCCAUCUAGUGUUGGUGUCAUAGCUUUUUGUGACUUUUUUUUUUUUCCAUCUUCAACAUGGUAAACUAUUUCAUAUGUAGCUUCUACUACUGUUUUUGUUCACGUCACCCUCCAAAAAUUCACAAAAGGUAGCUUGCUCUGCCACCUGAAAAAUAACAAACAGCAAAAGCCAAACUGGAAUAUGUGGUGAGACGUUGAAAAAAUGCAGAUUAUUUCUGUCCAGUUCUUGCAUCAAUUAAAAAGCAUUCUGAGAACUAAGAAUGGUUUCUUUGAAGGUUCUUGGCUUAGGGAGAGAGAGUGAGUGAGAAUGGAUUUCCUGCAUUGGUGAUCAAUUUUCAGGUUUGAAAUCUAGAUGUUAAGUGGUGACAGCUGUUUCUAUAAUGUUGAGUACCUGACACUAUAUUCCUUUCAGCGUAUACUUUAUAAUACAAAUGCAGGUCUCAGCAUGCUAUUAGUAGCUUAUACAGAGUAACAGAAGAACAAAAUCUUCUCAGGACAGGAAAGGCUGCCAGUGGUUCUGGAAAUUCACGUUAAAUUUGGGACUUCUUUUGCCUAUUAAAACUUUUUAAGGUUUAUAUAUUAUAUAUUUGCCUUUCAUGGGGUGUUCACCACAGGUUCUAGAGGUGAUUCCUCUAAGAACCAAGUGUUACAUGCUUUCCGUUUUCCUCAUUGCUAUUUAUGUAUUAGAUAUUGUUUUAUUAUGAAUCUUCUUUUUUAAUUGCUUUUGUAGCAUGUUUGUAAUCAGACUUUGUGCAUAAUUGGAUUUUACGUAACCUGCAGUGGGAAAAAAAUAACAAAAAUACUAAGGACCAGGCACGGGCUAUCAUGGAGGGAACUGAAGAAGUUACCACCCCGACAUUAUUCAGGACUGUGCUGGAUUCACGAGUGAAGAAGUCUGUUUUUUGCAUUACAUGAGACUUUGCUGGAUUGUUAUUCCGUUAUCCAAUUUCUAGUUCAUGUUUGUUAAUAAAUUGUUAUUUGUUGUU